UUCCGGUUGAUCCUGCCGGACCUGACUGCUAUCGGAUUGGUACUAAGCCAUGCGAGUCAUUGUAGCAAUACAAGGCAGACGGCUCAGUAACACGUAGUCAACCUACCCUAUGGACGGGGAUAAUCUCGGGAAACUGAGAAUAAUACCCGACAGAUCAUUGUGCCUGGAAUGGCUAAUGGUUGAAAUGAUUUAUCGCCGUAGGAUGGGACUGCGGCCUAUCAGUUUGUUGGCGGGGUAAUGGCCCACCAAGACUAUUACAGGUACGGGCUCUGAGAGGAGAGGCCCGGAGAUGGGUACUGAGACACGGACCCAGGCCCUAUGGGGCGCAGCAGGCGAGAAACCUUUGCAAUGUGCGAAAGCACGACAAGGUUAAUCCGAGUGUUUUCUGCUAAAGAAAUCUUUUGUCAGUCCUAAAAACACUGAUGAAUAAGGGGUGGGCAAGUUCUGGUGUCAGCCGCCGCGGUAAAACCAGCACCUCAAGUGGUCAGGAGGUUUAUUGGGCCUAAAGCAUCCGUAGCCGGCUAUGCAAGUUUUCGGUUAAAUCCAUGCGCUCAACGUAUGGGCUGCCGGGAAUACUGCACAGCUAGGGAGUGGGAGAGGUAGACGGUACUCCGUAGGAAGGGGUAAAAUCCUUUGAUCUAUGGAUGACCACCUGUGGCGAAGGCGGUCUACUAGAACACGUCCGACGGUGAGGGAUGAAAGCUGGGGGAGCAAACCGGAUUAGAUACCCGGGUAGUCCCAGCUGUAAACUAUGCAAACUCAGUGAUGCAUUGGCUUGUGGCCAGUGCAGUGCCGCAGGGAAGCCGUUAAGUUUGCCGCCUGGGAAGUACGUACGCAAGUAUGAAACUUAAAGGAAUUGGCGGGGGAGCACCACAAGGGGUGAAGCCUGCGGUUCAAUUGGAGUCAACGCCGGGA
rnacentral:rRNA from 1 species